AGAAGGAGAAGGUCAGCGCAGAAGCAGCUGCUGCCGCACAUUCUAUGCCCAUUUUAGCUAAUUUCGAGCACUCCUCUCGCGAUUACUUCCCCAAAUUUUCCAUAGAUGACUUUGAAGCUCUAGGAAGUUCCAGCACAAUGUCAUCAAGUCCUCCAACAUCAUCAAGCCCUCCAGUUGUUGGGGAGAGAAUAUUGUUCCCAAAUGUUGCAAGGCUUGGUUUUGCAGCUGGCCGUGAUUCUCCAUCCUUGAAAAUUGAGGAAACCAGUGCUUUGCAUAAGAACAACAGAGGGACAAAUGAUUCUUCUGGUGUGCCUGGUACAAGAAAUUCAGGCACACCUACAUUUGCCAACAUAAUAUCCAGAGAGAAAUCAGGCAAAAAUUUGGAUGCACCUAAGAAUGAGAAUGGAAAGAAAGGAAAGAAGCCGAGUCGAAUCCUUUUGUCGACAGCAGGUGGUCGGCGUUACUGAAGCAUAAGCCUCAAACUCUUCAACGACACUUAGCUUGUGUAUUCUGAGACAUUGACCUUGUGAAUGAAAUUCGGUGUUGACAUGUGAGACUGCUUGUAGAUGGCACUGGGAAUAUAAUAUUACCAUUAAGAUGUUCCAAAAAUGUACAGCUUGAUUUCCUUAUGCUUAGGAUUCAUGUUUGUUAGCGAAAU
rnacentral:misc_RNA from 1 species